rnacentral:rRNA from 1 species
GACGAACGCUGGCGGCGUGCUUAACACAUGCAAGUCGAACGGAAAGGCCCUGCGUUUGUGGGUUUCUCGUUUGGCGAACGCGGGAGUAACACGUGAGUAACCUGCACCUAUAUUUGUGAUAACUUCUCGGAACUGGGGCUAAUACCGGAGAUGAGCUACUGCUGCAUGGUGGUCGUUGGAAAGUUUCGGCGGUGGUGGCUAGACUCGCUGCUUAUCAGCUUGUUGGUCUGGUAGUGGCUUACCAAGGGUUUGACGGGUAGCCGGCCUGAGAGGGUGACCGGCGACAAUGGGCCUACGAGACGGACCAGAAUCGUACGGGAGGCAACAGUGGGGAAUAUUGCACAAUGGCCGGAAGCGUGAUGCAGCAGCGCCGCGUGCGGGAUGCCGGCCUACGAGUUGUGAACAGAUGUCGAAGGUGCUGAAGCGUGAGUGACGGUAAUGAGUCAAGAAGCCCCGGCUAACUACGUG